rnacentral:tRNA from 1 species
GCUUCGGUGGUACAAAUGGUUUAUGCUCUCGGCUGCUAACUGAAAGGUUGGAGGAGUGAGUCCUCUCAGAAGCA